UCUAUGUCAAGAAGGUUGGUUUCCACAUUUACUCACCUACUCGAAACUUUAAUGUCACAGCCCCAUCUCUAAAUUAAUUUAUGCCAAGAACCCACAUCAACAUGCCACUUUUCAUAAACAUAUAGAGAAGAAGAAGGAAAAAGGUACCUUGCCUUCCAAUAGAAUAACAAAUCCAAUUACAAGCCCGUCCUCAUCAAUAGGGAAUUUGACCAUUGAGGAUCAUCAUCAUGUGGUCGAACCUUCUCUCAAUAAAGAAAAUGCAAUAAAUGGAAAUCAACCCAUGUAGAGUGGGGCAAACAAGGAAGAGAAUGCCUGCAAAAAGCAGGAAAAUUAUAUUAUGAUACAACAAAGCAACCUAAGAAAGAGAAAGAGAAAAGUCAAGGAAAAUUCACAUGGGUUAUGGAAAAGACCUUUACACACCCCGUGCCUUAGCUGUAAUGAUGUUUCACACAAGUUCUUUU
rnacentral:lncRNA from 1 species